rnacentral:rRNA from 1 species
AAUGGGGGAAACCCUGACGCAGCGACGCCGCGUGAGUGAGGAAGGCCUUCGGGUCGUAAAGCUCUGUCAAGAGGGAAGAAGUGCACUAGCGGUUAAUACCCGUUAUGUUUGACGGUACCUCUAAAGGAAGCACCGGCUAACUCCGUGCCAGCAGCCGCGGUAA